AUUGAACGCGGCGGCAGGCUUAACACAUGCAAGUCGAGCGGCAGCGGAAAGUAGCUUGUACUUUGCCGGCGAGCGGCGGACGGGUGAGUAAUGUCUGGGAAACUGCCUGAUGGAGGGGGAUAACUACUGGAAACGGUAGAUAAUACCGCAUGACCUCGAAAGAGCAAAGUGGGGGAUCUUCGGACCUCACGCCAUCGGAUGUGCCCAGAUGGGAUUAGCUAGUAGGUGAGGUAAUGGCUCACCUAGGCGACGAUCCCUAGCUGGUCUGAGAGGAUGACCAGCCACACUGGAACUGAGACACGGUCCAGACUCCUACGGGAGGCAGCAGUGGGGAAUAUUGCACAAUGGGCGCAAGCCUGAUGCAGCCAUGCCGCGUGUGUGAAGAAGGCCUUAGGGUUGUAAAGCACUUUCAGCGAGGAGGAAGGCAUCAUACUUAAUACGUGUGGUGAUUGACGUUACUCGCAGAAGAAGCACCGGCUAACUCCGUGCCAGCAGCCGCGGUAAUACGGAGGGUGCAAGCGUUAAUCGGAAUUACUGGGCGUAAAGCGCACGCAGGCGGUUUGUUAAGUCAGAUGUGAAAUCCCCGCGCUUAACGUGGGAACUGCAUUUGAAACUGGCAAGCUAGAGUCUUGUAGAGGGGGGUAGAAUUCCAGGUGUAGCGGUGAAAUGCGUAGAGAUCUGGAGGAAUACCGGUGGCGAAGGCGGCCCCCUGGACAAAGACUGACGCUCAGGUGCGAAAGCGUGGGGAGCAAACAGG
rnacentral:rRNA from 1 species